UGUUGCUUUGUGGACAUUGCACUCGAGGGC
rnacentral:piRNA from 1 species